UACGGAGGAUGCGAGCGUUAUCCGGAUUUAUUGGGUUUAAAGGGUGCGCAGGCGGGAGAUUAAGUCGGCGGUGAAAUUUUGCAGCUCAACUGUAAAAGUGCCUUCGAAACUGGUUUCCUUGAGUGUAGAUGAAGUAGGCGGAAUUUGUGGUGUAGCGGUGAAAUGCAUAGAUAUCACGAGGAACUCCGAUUGCGCAGGCAGCUUACUAAACUACUACUGACGCUCAGGCACGAAGGCGUGGGGAUCAAACAGGAUUAGAUACCCCGGUAGU
rnacentral:rRNA from 1 species